rnacentral:rRNA from 1 species
CGCGUAGGCGGUCAUGUAAGUCGGUGGUGAAAGCCCACGGCUUAACUGUGGAAUUGCCCUCGAAACUGCAUGACUUGAGUACGGAAGAGGAGAGCGGAAUUCCCAGUGUAGCGGUGAAAUGCGUAGAUAUUGGGAGGAACACCGGUGGCGAAGGCGGCUCUCUGGUCCGAAACUGACGCUGAGGCGCGAAAGCUAGGGGAGCAAACGGGAUUAGAUACCCCGGUAGUCCUAGCCGUAAACGUUGUGCACUAGGUGUAGGAGGUAUCGACCCCUUCUGUGCCGAAGCUAACGCAUUAAGUGCACCGCCUGGGGAUACGAUCGCAAGAUUGAA